rnacentral:rRNA from 1 species
GAUGAACGCUGGCGGCGUGCCUAAUACAUGCAAGUCGAGCGAACAGACGAGGAGCUUGCUCCUUUGACGUUAGCGGCGGACGGGUGAGUAACACGUGGGUAACCUACCUAUAAGACUGGGAUAACUUCGGGAAACCGGAGCUAAUACCGGAUAAUAUUUCGAACCGCAUGGUUCCAUAGUGAAAGAUGGCUUUGCUAUCACUUAUAGAUGGACCUGCGCCGUAUUAGCUAGUUGGUAAGGUAACGGCUUACCAAGGCAACGAUACGUAGCCGACCUGAGAGGGUGAUCGGCCACACUGGAACUGAGGCACGGUCCAGACUCCUACGGGAGGCAGCAGUAGGGAAUCUUCCGCAAUGGGCGAAAGCCUGACGGAGCAACGCCGCGUGAGUGAUGAAGGUCUUCGGAUCGUAAAACUCUGUUAUUAGGGAAGAACAAACGUGUAAGUAACUGUGCACGUCUUGACGGUACCUAAUCAGAAAGCCACGGCUAACUACGUG